GAAGAUAAAGAUAAGGAUAAACAAAAUAAAUAUAAAGAAGAUAAGGAUAAAGAUUAAGAUAAGGAUAAAGAUAAGGAAGAUAAAGAUAAGGAUAAAGAUAAGGAUAAAGAUAAGGAUAAAGAUAAGGAUAAAGAUAAGGAUAAAGAUUAAAAGAUAAGGAUAAAGAUAAGGAAGAUAAAGAUAAGGAAGAUAAGAUAAGAUAAGGAUAGAGAUAAAGAUAAGGAUAAAGAUAAGACAAAGAUAAAGAUAUGGAAGAUAAAUAUGAGGAAGAUAAAGAUAAGGAUAAAGAAGAUAAAUAUAAGGAAGAUAAGGAUAAAGAUAAGAGGAUAAAUAUAAGGGAGAUAAGGAAGAUAAGAAGAUAAAUAUAAGAAGAUAAAGAUAAGGAUAA
rnacentral:lncRNA from 1 species